AUCCCUUGACAUCCUGCGAACUUUCUAGAGAUAGAUUGGUGCCUUCGGGAACGCAGUGACAGGUGCUGCAUGGCUGUCGUCAGCUCGUGUCGUGAGAUGUUGGGUUAAGUCCCGCAACGAGCGCAACCCUUAUCAUUAGUUGCUAACAUUUAGUUGAGAACUCUAAUGAGACUGCCGGUGAUAAACCGGAGGAAGGCGGGGACGACGUCAAGUCAUCAUGGCCCUUAUGGGAUGGGCUACACACGUGCUACAAUGGAGGGUACAAAGAGCAGCCAACUGGCGACAGUGCGCGAAUCUCAUAAAACCUCUCGUAGUCCGGAUCGGAGUCUGCAACUCGACUCCGUGAAGUCGGAAUCGCUAGUAAUCGUGAAUCAGAAUGUCACGGUGAAUACGUUCCCGGGCCU
rnacentral:rRNA from 1 species